rnacentral:rRNA from 1 species
GACAGAGGGUGCAAACGUUGUUCGGAUUUACUGGGCGUAAAGCGUGUGUAGGCGGCUUUGUAUGUCGGAUGUGAAAGCCCACGGCUCAACCGUGGAAGUGCAUCCGAAACUGCAUAGCUUGAGUCCCGGAGAGGAAGGUGGAAUGCUUGGUGUAGAGGUGAAAUUCGUAGAUAUCAAGCAGAACACCUGCGGCGAAGGCGGCCUUCUGGACGGUGACUGACGCUGAGACGACGAAAGCAGA